rnacentral:rRNA from 1 species
GACGAACGCUGGCGGCGUGCUUAACACAUGCAAGUCGAACGGAAAGGCCCUGCUUUUGUGGGGUGCUCGAGUGGCGAACGGGUGAGUAACACGUGAGUAACCUGCCCUUGACUUUGGGAUAACUUCAGGAAACUGGGGCUAAUACCGGAUAGGAGCUCCUGCUGCAUGGUGGGGGUUGGAAAGUUUCGGCGGUUGGGGAUGGACUCGCGGCUUAUCAGCUUGUUGGUGGGGUAGUGGCUUACCAAGGCUUUGACGGGUAGCCGGCCUGAGAGGGGGACCGGCCCCAUUGGGGCAGUGAGAACGCCCCGAGCACUCCGGGGGGGACAGGGGGGGGAAAUUUUGCACUGGGGGGGGAACUGAGACGGCAACGCCGCGUGCGGGAUAUCGGGCUUUGGGGUUUAAAACCCUUUUUCCUGUGACGAAACGCGAGGGAGGGGAAUUGGGGAAAAAACACCGCGUAAAUACGC